UACGGAGGGUGCGAGCGUUAAUCGGAAUUACUGGGCGUAAAGGGUGCGUAGGUGGUUUGUUAAGUUAGUUUUGAAAUUCCUGGGCUUAACCUGGGCUGGAGGACUAAUACUGAUGGACUUGAGUAUAGGAGAGGGUAGUGGAAUUUCCGGUGUAGCGGUGAAAUGCGUAGAGAUCGGAAGGAACACCAGUGGCGAAGGCGGCUACCUGGCCAGAUACUGACACUGAGGCACGAAAGCGUGGGGAGCAAACAGG
rnacentral:rRNA from 2 species